rnacentral:rRNA from 1 species
GACGUAGGGUGCAAGCGUUAAUCGGAAUUACUGGGCGUAAAGCGUGCGCAGGCGGUUGUGCAAGACCGAUGUGAAAUCCCCGGGCUUAACCUGGGAAUGGCAUUGGUGACUGCACGGCUAGAGUGUGUCAGAGGGGGGUAGAAUUCCACGUGUAGCAGUGAAAUGCGUAGAGAUGUGGAGGAAUACCGAUGGCGAAGGCAGCCCCCUGGGAUAACACUGACGCUCAUGCACGAAAGCGUGGGGAGCAAACAGG